GAUGAACGCUGGCGGCGUGCCUAACACAUGCAAGUCGAACGAUGAAACCGCCCUCGGGCGGACAUGAAGUGGCGAACGGGUGAGUAACACGUGACCAACCUGCCCCUUGCUCCGGGACAACCUUGGGAAACCGAGGCUAAUACCGGAUACUCCUCGCCCCCCUCCUGGGGGGCCCGGGAAAGCCCAGACGGCAAGGGAUGGGGUCGCGGCCCAUUAGGUAGUAGGCGGGGUAACGGCCCACCUAGCCCGCGAUGGGUAGCCGGGUUGAGAGACCGACCGGCCACAUUGGGACUGAGAUACGGCCCAGACUCCUACGGGAGGCAGCAGUGGGGAAUUUUGCGCAAUGGGGGAAACCCUGACGCAGCAACGCCGCGUGCGGGACGACGGCCUUCGGGUUGUAAACCGCUUUCAGCAGGGAAGAAAUUCGACGGUACCUGCAGA
rnacentral:rRNA from 1 species